rnacentral:rRNA from 1 species
ACGCUGGCGGCACGCCUAACACAUGCAAGUCGAACGCAGUAGCAAUACUGAGUGGCAAACGGGUGAGUAUAAUGUGGGAAUCUGCCUUUUGGUUCGGAAUAACACGGGGAAACUUGUGCUAAUACCGAAUAAGCCCUUACGGGGAAAGUUUUAAUGCCGAAAGAUGAGCCCGCACUUGAUUAGCUAGUUGGUAAGGUAAAAGCUUACCAAGGCAACGAUCAAUAGCUGUUCUUAGAGGAAGACCAGCCACAUUGGGACUGAGACACGGCCCAGACUCCUACGGGAGGCAGCAGUGGGGAAUCUUGCACAAUGGGGGAAACCCUGAUGCAGCGAUGCCGCGUGAGUGAAGAAGGCCUUUGGGUUGUAAAACUCUUUCGUCGGGGAAGAAAAUGACUGUACCCGAAUAAGAAGGUCCGGCUAACUUCGUGCCAGCAGCCGCGGUAAUACGAAGGGACCUAGCGUAGUUCGGAAUUACUGGGCUUAAAGAGCUCGUAGGUGGUUAAAAAAGUUGAUGGUGAAAUCCCAAGGCUUAACCUUGGAACCGCCAUCAAAACUUUUUAGCUAGAGUGUGAUAGAGGUAAGUGGAAUUUCUAGUGUAGAGGUGAAAUUCGUAGAUAUUAGAAAGAACACCAAAUGCGAAGGCAACUUACUGGGUCACUACUGACACUGAGGAGCGAAAGCAUGGGUAGCGAAGAGGAUUAGAUACCCUCGUAGUCCAUGCCGUAAACGAUGUGUGCUAGACGUUGGAAAUAUAUUUUUCAGUGUCGCAGCGAAAGCAUUAAGCACACCGCCUGGGGAGUACGACCGCAAGGUUAAAACUCAAAUGAAUUGACGGGGACCCGCACAAGCAGUGGAGCAUGUGGUUUAAUUCGAAGAUACGCGCAGAACCUUACCAACACUUGACAUGUUCGUCGCGAGACUAAGAGAUUAGUCUUUUCAGUUCGGCUGGACGAAACACAGGUGCUGCAUGGCUGUCGUCAGCUCGUGUCGUGAGAUGUUGGGUUAAGUCCCGCAACGAGCGCAACCCUCACUUUUAGUUGCCAUCAUUAAGUUGGGCACUCUGAAAGAACUGCCAGUGAUAAGCUGGAGGAAGGUGGGGAUGACGUCAAGUCCUCAUGGCCCUUACGUGUUGGGCUACACACGUGCUACAAUGGCAUCUACAACAGGAAGCAAAACGGCAACGUUAAGCAAAUCCCGAAAAGAUGCCUCAGUUCGGAUUGCACUCUGCAACUCGAGUGCAUGAAGCUGGAAUUACUAGUAAUCGUGGAUCAGCGUGCCACGGUGAAUGCGUUCCCGGGUCUUGUACACACCGCC